rnacentral:rRNA from 1 species
GUCGAGGGGCAGCAUAAUGAAUAGCAAUAUUUAUUGAUGGCGACCGGCGGACGGGUGCGUAACGCGUAUGCAACCUGCCCGGGACAGGAGGAUAAUCCGAAGAAAUUUGGUCUAACACUCCGUAAUACAGACGAAGGCAUCUUUGUCGGUUGAAAACUGAGGUGGUUCCGGAUGGGCAUGCGUGAUAUUAGCUAGAUGGAGAGGUAACGGCUCACCAUGGCUACGAUAUCUAGGGGAACUGAGAGGUUAAUCCCCCACACUGGUACUGAGACACGGACCAGACUCCUACGGGAGGCAGCAGUGAGGAAUAUUGGUCAAUGGGAGGAAUCCUGAACCAGCCAUGCCGCGUGCAGGACGACGGCUCUACGAGUUGUAAACUGCUUUUGUACCGGGGUAAAAUGCCUUACGUGUAGGGUUUUGAAAGUACGGUACGAAUAAGGAUCGGCUAACUCCGUGCCAGCAGCCGCGGUAAUACGGAGGAUCCGAGCGUUAUCCGGAUUUAUUGGGUUUAAAGGGUGCGUAGGCGGUCCGUUAAGUCAGCGGUAAAAUUGCGGGGCUCAACCCCGUCGAGCCGUUGAAACUGGCAGACUUGAGUUGGCGAGAAGUACGCGGAAUGCGCGGUGUAGCGGUGAAAUGCAUAGAUAUCGCGCAGAACUCCGAUUGCGAAGGCAGCGUACCGGCGCCAGACUGACGCUGAGGCACGAAAGCGUGGGGAUCGAACAGGAUUAGAUACCCUGGUAGUCCACGCAGUAAACGAUGAAUGCUGGUUGUCCGGGUCGAAUGAGACCUGGGCGGCA